rnacentral:rRNA from 1 species
GACGGACGCGGCCGGAGUGCUAAUACAUGAAAGUCAAACGCUUCUCUCUCCCGAGUGUUUCCACUUGAUUUCAUCCAGAUGUGGCGGCAGGGUAAGUAACACGUGGGUAACCUACCCUUCAGAGGGGGAUAACACUCGGAAACAGGUGAUAAUACCGCAUAACAGUUUAUGCCGCAUGGCAUAAGAGUGAAAGGCGCUUUCGGGUGUCGCUGAUGGAUGGACCCGCGGUGCAUUAGCUAGUUGGUGAGGUAACGGCUCACCAAGGCCACGAUGCAUAGCCGACCUGAGAGGGUGAUCGGCCACACUGGGACUGAGACACGGCCCAGACUCCUACGGGAGGCAGCAGUAGGGAAUCUUCGGCAAUGGACGAAAGUCUGACCGAGCAACGCCGCGUGAGUGAAGAAGGUUUUCGGAUCGUAAAACUCUGUUGUUAGAGAAGAACAAGGACGUUAGUAACUGAACGUCCCCUGACGGUAUCUAACCAGAAAGCCACGGCUAACUACGUGCCCGCAGCCGCGGUAAUACGUAGGUGGCAAGCGUUGUCCGGAUUUAUUGGGCGUAAAGCGAGCGCAGGCGGUUUCUUAAGUUUGAUGUGAAAGCCCCCGGCUCAACCGGGGAGGGUCAUUGGGAACUGGGAGACUUGAGUGCAGAAGAGGAGAGUGGAAUUCCAUGUGUAGCGGUGAAAUGCGUAGAUAUAUGGAGGAACACCAGUGGAGAAGGCGGCUCUCUGGUCUGUAACUGACGCCGAGGCUCGAAAGCGUGGGGAGCAAACAGG